rnacentral:rRNA from 1 species
UGCCGCGUGUGUGAAGAAGGCCUUCGGGUUGUAAAGCACUUUUGUCCGGAAAGAAAAGUUCCCGGUUAAUACCCGGGGAUCAUGACGGUACCGGAAGAAUAAGCACCGGCUAACUUCGUGCCAGCAGCCGCGGUAAUACGAAGGGUGCAAGCGUUACUCGGAAUUACUGGGCGUAAAGCGUGCGUAGGUGGUUUGUUAAGUCUGAUGUGAAAGCCCUGGGCUCAACCUGGGAAUGGCAUUGGAAACUGGCUGACUAGAGUGCGGUAGAGGGUAGUGGAAUUCCCGGUGUAGCAAUGAAAUGCGUAGAUAUCGGGAGGAACAUCUGUGGCGAAGGCGACUACCUGGACCAGCACUGACACUGAGGCACGAAAGCGUGGGGAGCAAACAGGAUUAGAUACCCUGGUAGUCCACGCCCUAAACGAUGCGAACUGGAUGUUGGGAGCAACUUGGCUCUCAAUAUCGAAGCUUACGCGUUAAGUUCGCCGCCUGGGAAGUACGGUCGCAAGACUGAAACUCAGAGGAAUUGACGGGGGCCCGCACAAGCGGUGGAGUAUGUGGUUUAAUUCGAUGCAACGCGCAGAACCUUACCUGGCCUUGACAUCCACGGAACUUUCUAGAGAU